AGUGAACGCUGGCGGCAGGCCUAACACAUGCAAGUCGAACGAACUCUUCGGAGUUAGUGGCGGACGGGUGAGUAACACGUGGGAACGUGCCUUUAGGUUCGGAAUAACUCAGGGAAACUUGUGCUAAUACCGAAUGUGCCCUUCGGGGGAAAGAUUUAUCGCCUUUAGAGCGGCCCGCGUCUGAUUAGCUAGUUGGUGGGGUAAUGGCCCACCAAGGCUACGAUCAGUAGCUGGUCUGAGAGGAUGACCAGCCACAUUGGGACUGAGACACGGCCCAAACUCCUACGGGAGGCAGCAGUGGGGAAUCUUGCGCAAUGGGCGAAAGCCUGACGCAGCCAUGCCGCGUGGAUGAUGAAGGUCUUAGGAUUGUAAAAUCCUUUCACCGGUGAAGAUAAUGACUGUAGCCGGAGAAGAAGCCCCGGCUAACUUCGUGCCAGUAGCCGCGGUAAUACAGAGGGUGCGAGCGUUAAUCGGAAUUACUGGGCGUAAAGCGCGCGUAGGCGGCUUUGCAAGUCGGGUGUGAAAUCCCCAGGCUUAACCUGGGAACUGCAUUCGAGACUGCAUUGCUAGAGUAUGGGAGAGGGAAGUGGAAUUUCCGGU
rnacentral:rRNA from 1 species